GCGCGGAGAAGAGGCCCCCCCCGGUGAAGAUGGACAGCCCGAAACGACUAUCCCUCUCCACCGGACGGUCCCUGCAGCACAGAUGGCCUGGACCAGCUCACCCUUCCUUCCCGCCGAGGGGAGGAAAGAAGAAGAAACUUAGACUUUGGGCAUAAGUUGUACAAGCACCCUAUAGAAGUAUAAUAGGAGCUUUCAGGGCUUUCAGCCAGGCCUAGCGCAGCAUUGCUUUUAAAUUAUGAAAACUACCAGUUACCCCCCCACAGUUUGGAAAUUGGAAACAGGAAAGACAAACAGCAAGCUUUUCAGCAUCUGAAUCAUACUAAAGAAAGAGAGACUUGUAGGACAUGCUCACUAGACCCUCUUUACUUUGAGAUUACUGUAUUUAAACCUUCCUAUAGAGCGAGAGAUAAAACAGCUAGGACUUGUGGACAAAAUUAUAACAGGUCUUCUCAGGAGGAGGAAGAAGAGUCUAAUGCUGAGCGUGAGGCUUGAGAAAGAGGACAAGACCGCGAAAGGAGUGCUGCCUCGUCUCUGCCGUUCAAUCAUCAGGAUGCCGACUGCUACUCCCUACCACAGCAUCAGGCAAUAUGGACUGUCGUUAUAAAUAAAGAAGACUUAUAC